rnacentral:rRNA from 1 species
UUCUAGGAAACCAGUAUGACGGGCGGGGCGGGGGCACGGGGGGACUGCUCAGUAACACGUGGAUAACCUGCCCUUGGGACCGGCAUAACCCCGGGAAACUGGGGAUAAUUCCGGAUAACGCAUAUUUGCUGGAAUGCUUUAUGCGUCAAAAGGAUUCGUCUGCCCAAGGAUGGGUCUGCGGCCUAUCAGGUAGUAGUGGGUGUAAUGUACCUACUAGCCAGCGACGGGUACGGGUUGUGAGAGCAAGAGCCCGGAGAUGGAUUCUGAGACAUGAAUCCAGGCCCUACGGGGCGCAGCAGGCGCGAAAACUUUACAAUGCGGGAAACCGUGAUAAGGGGACACCGAGUGCCAGCAUCAUAUGCUGGCUGUCCGGAUGUGUAAAAUACAUCCGUUAGCAAGGGCCGGGCAAGACCGGUGCCAGCCGCCGCGGUAAUUUUUUACCAUU